CUCUUGAAGUCUCUUUCCUCAUUUGUCUUCCACACUGAGGAGCCCAGCAGCUCAAUCUUUACUCUGAACCUUUAGAACCUCUUAAUGUUCUGACUCGGUUCUGAACACUUACUUUGGGUGUUGGUGAAACCCUUCCUUCAACGGAUCUCACUUUCCUUGCUUUUUUGCUUUCAUAUCUUCAAUACUACAUGGGGCAGCAGACGUUUUGCCCACGGAGAAACUAAGAUUUUCAUACAACACAGGACAGCACACCUUUCACCACAGAGAAGCUAAGGUACAGUUUGCUAAAUGUCAUGUUUUCUUAAGAUUAUUGGUCAUAUAUUCUCACUGUAUUAAUAUAUUCUAAAUGAAUCGGUUACCAGUCCAGGUUGAUUGCUUCCAGGUUCCUGCUGUAAAAUAGCUAUUGAGUGUGUGUGUGUGUGUGUGUGUGUGUGUGUGUGUGUGUGUGUGUGUGUGUGUGUGUGUGUGUGUGUGUGUGUGUGUGUGUGAGAAACGCACGCAUAACACGAUCACACAGUGUUAUCGUGUGUUUGUGUGUGUGUGUGUG
ensembl:lncRNA